UUCCAAAUAAAACAUGCAGAGGGUACAAUAAAAUCUAGAUGCUUUAAUGUUGACAUAAUUCGUCAUUCACAGAUUUGGGACAGUAAUAAUAAGCUAUUACUAGAGAGCAGAUAUGACAUAGCCAUCUGAAAGCAGAAGAAAAUAUAAAACGAACAUACCCAAUAAAAUGACAUAGAUGUAAAAAAUACAUAUUUUAGUUUAAUGAAUAAAAAGCUCAAGAGGACAUACAAGAAGAACUCCCAGCACUUGGAGACUCUCAUGGCAGCGAUCAUUAUGAUGUGAAUUAUCGUUUUAGGAGGUGUUUCUGUGUCUUCAUACAGAUAGAUACGCCCAACAUGUAAAUUUGGUACUCGGUAGCCCGUUUGGUUCUUCAAUUUUCUUCAUAUCUUCUAAUAAUUUAUGGGUAGUUAGGAGCUUUUUGCAUGACCAGAGUGUUCACUGUCAAUCAGUUUGGUUGGAUUUGGUUUUUGACCAUCUGCUAUUCUGAGCGAGGCAGGCAGGAAAUAUUUUUCAAUAUCUUCUUGUCUCCCUUCUAGUAGUCCUGUUUAGAAAACUAGUGCUCCGUGUCAAGUUCUCCCCACAUAAACAUCAGAAAGACGAGCUUCAUCUUGUGGGGAUUUAAUGUCACAAGGCUUUUUAGUCAAUUGCCUGAUCAGUUAAGCUCAUCUUGUGCAUUAGGCUAUUACACUCACUUCAUCUUGUGUGUAGAUGACUCCUUCAUUGACCGACCUUUGUGAAAAUCGGGUUAUGUAAACACUUGGAUUUUCAACCAGUUCUUAGAGCCUGGCUUGUGUAUUUCGUUGAGAAGAUAGAAACAAUGUUUUCUAUAAACAACUUAGGGAAGGAGGGGCAUGCUAUUUACUCCUUCUUGGAAAGGGUGUUUUGUCAAACCGAAUUUCUUAGGGACCAGAUUCAGGCAAAGUGAAUUUUACAUGUGUUACUCAAACGGCCCCAAGAGGUAAAUAAUCCUUACCAAAAAAUGUGUAAAAUUGUACAUUUCAACCGCCCCCAGAGGCAGGGGCAUAGCACAACCGAAGCAGUUUGGUGGCCCAUAAGCAGAUGUGUUCAACCCCAGGGGCCCGUUGGUUAUCUAGAUAAUGGUUGGUUUCACAAAAAUAAAACUUGAAAUAUGCUAUGUUUAAGAAUUACUAAAAAUUAACUAUAUUAACUUAUUAUAUUUACAUGAAAUUUAGAUUAUAGAUGCUAACUUCUUAAAACAUAAACCGCCCCAAAGAUGAAUUUUAAAUGUGUUACUCAAAACCGCCCCAAAGAGGUAAAUAAUGCUUACCAAAAAAUGUGCAAAAUUAUACAUUUCAACCGCCCCGAACAACCGAGGCAGUUUGGUGGUGGCGCAUAAGCAGACGCAGGGGCCUGUUGGUUAUCUAGAUGAAGGAUCCGCCCAAGUAAAUGGGAAAGGCAGUUGCCUACUUCGCCUCGUGCCCACCAGCCAGGACAGUCAAGAAAUACAAGAAUCAUUCAUCCGUUUUGAUAAUGUUCAUCCUUAUCAGGAACGAUAAUCAUCCCAACGGCCAAACAACGCUAACUGUUCAUCUCAUCAUACGAGCGUGUGACUAUAAAUAGGGGAAGAGAGGAAAGAAAGAAAAGGAACUCGGCUGUUGCUCAUCGUAUCGAAACUGCUGGAACCCUUCGUCCAUCUUCCGCUGCCCACAUGGUGCUUUGAAGGAUGGAUGCGUAUACAUCCUUGACAUUGGCGUUGAACCAGGUUUCUGGCCCGGUCAUGGUGUCUUGCCGCGGACGUUCUCUUCUAAUGCAAGAUCUUUUUCCUGGAUAAGCAAUUAACCACUCCAGAAAGUGUUCUUGCUAUGUCACAAUGACAACAUGUUGUAGGUAAAACUUGCAUCUGAAGAGAAAUAAGCCGAUAAAGCUUCCUGAAGUCUAAACUUGUGAAAGUGUUGGAAACUUUGCAUCUUAUGCACAUAGAGCCAAGAAAAGAAACCAAGUUGGAGUCAGCAGCUUCUAGUUUCAAACAUUACAAGAACAUGCCUCGACAAAAGCACAGUGUGGGACAUUCAUAGAUCUAUGAAGUAGUCACCAGCUCUAACAGAAGAAAAUUCCAAAUUCAUGCAAACUAACACAACAUUUUCAGCAGAACAGAACUAGAAAAGUGUAACUCGAGCAGAAACCACAAGAAACUUGACAUACUUGUACAUCUUCCAGAAAAAGAUCCUGAAUCCUUCCUGAAGACUGACCGAGGUGAUCAGAAGAGUUGCAUGUAGCCAUAUUGAAGAUUGUAGAGGAAGAAAGGCUCACUAUGCUGCAGACAAGAUGAUCAGGUUCACAAGCCACAAAAGUGCACUGCAUCAAUACGACAAAAAGAAAAAGAAAGUGAAAUGACAAAUCUGAAGAACAUAAAUAUGUGUGCCUCAGGUAGAAAAAAAUUGCACAUAUGGUAAACCAGAAUUCAUUGUACUCGAGAAGUAACAUGGACAAAUUAUGUCACAUAGGCUUGCCAAAACAGGUGCCACACCCAAGUGGACUCAUAUUGGAUCUGGGUGCAGGUUUGCCAACCGGAACGGACUAUUGUCAUCAAGCGCUUGCAAGACUCUAGCCAACAGAAGCGCAGUCUGGUGAACAAAGCCUGAGCACACAGACUCAGUCAAAAUGCACCAACUCCCUUUUUGUGAAACAUUUUUGCUAUUGCCAUUGGUUUUUCUUGAUAAAAUUUCUAUCAGUAGCAUAGCUUGCCUUUACUUGAUUCUGUUAUGUAUGUACUUAUAAUUAUUAAGGGUUCGUUGAUUCUCACCA